rfam:Geosporobacter subterraneus DSM 17957 genome assembly, contig: EJ58DRAFT_scaffold00027.27
CUAUCUGCUAUGAAGAGGAGAGUAAAUAUGCUGUGAAGUUUUAGCGAGCCGGUGAUGGUGAAAGUCCGGUACGGAGCACAUAUUGAAGAACACCUCUGAGCUUCUAACCGAAAUCCUAUGGAAAGUAGGCUUAGACGGAUUUCCACCGUUAUUGGGAUAGUGCAUCGGUUAUAGCCUGUGCAUGAAAGAGUGAACGUUUUACGUUAAUUAGGGUGGCACCACGGCAGCCCCGUCCCUUGU